UUUCCGUAGGUGAACCUGCGGAAGGAUCAUUAUCGUACAAAAUGUGAGGGGGAAGCGAGGGCUGUCGCUGACCGAAAAGUCGUGCACGCCCGAGUGUGUCCUCUUGCAUAAUAAUCCAUCUCACCCUUUGUGCAUCACCGCGUGGGCACCCUUCGGGAUCAUCUCGGAGGGGGGCUCGCGUUUUCACACAAACCCACCUUUUAAAAGUGUAGAAUGACCACAUUUAUGCAAUCAAUACAACUUUCAACAACGGAUCUCUUGGCUCUC
rnacentral:misc_RNA from 1 species